CGGGGAGUAGUUCAGCCUGGCAGAGCACUGCCUUCGGGAGGCAGGGGCCGGAGGUUCGAAUCCUCUCUCCCCGACCA
rnacentral:tRNA from 1 species